rnacentral:lncRNA from 1 species
CUAUAUUGGGAGGAAUUUUAGAAAAACUGGGGGCAAAAUGGGGAAUCUGUGAAUUUGGUACAUUUUUUAAUCUAAUGAACCAGACCCAUGUUAAUGAGGUUUUGCUUUUUGAGAUAUUCACCAAUUGGGCAGGAGCAAAAAUAAUAGAGUUGGCCCAAUUCAAAACUAACAACUUGUGGGUUCAGAAAAAGGGAAAUUCACAUAUCCCAAUUCAAGGGACAGAAGAAAGGUUACUUUACCUUCCUUGUGGUCUUGGUUCAUUACUAAUAGUGAUUAGAGAUGUCAAAGUGUUAGAUGUGUUAAGGAUGUCUACAUAUGUCAUUUCCC